rnacentral:rRNA from 1 species
UACGAAGGGGGGCUAGCGUUGCUCGGAAUGACUGGGCGUAAAGGGCGCGUAGGCGGAUGGCACAGUCAGAUGUGAAAUUCCCGGGCUUAACCUGGGGGCUGCAUUUGAUACGUGUGAUCUAGAGUGAGGAAGAGGGUCGUGGAAUUCCCCAGUGUAGAGGUGAAAUUCGUAGAUAUUGGGAAGAACACCGGUGGCGAAGGCGGCGACCUGGUCCUUGACUGACGCUGAGGCGCGAAAGCGUGGGGGAGCAAAACGG